ensembl:snoRNA SNORA73 Small nucleolar RNA SNORA73 family
CUGGUGCGGAUACCCUGGGGUCACUCUCCCAGGCUCUGUCCGGGUGGCGGCAGGAGUGCAGGGCUCUGCCCCGUGACGUACAGUCCCUUUCCACAGCAUCGAAGAUGAAGCCGGGCCCCGAGUCAGCGCCUGCAUAUUCCUACAGCUUCUCAGAGUCCCACGGACCGUGACUGAGGAGACAAACCAUGCAGGAAACAGUU